rnacentral:rRNA from 1 species
CCUACGGGUGGCAGCAGUGGGGAAUAUUGCACAAUGGGGGAAACCCUGAUGCAGCAACGCCGCGUGGGUGAAGGAGCGUUUCGGCGCGUAAAGCCCUGUCAGCGGGGAAGAAGAAAGACGGUACCCGACCAAGAAGCCCCGGCUAACUACGUGCCAGCAGCCGCGGUAAUACGUAGGGGGCGAGCGUUAUCCGGAAUUACUGGGUGUAAAGGGAGCGUAGACGGCGAGGUAAGCCUGAAGUGGAAGCCCGCGGCCCAACCGCGGAACUGCUUUGGGAACUGUUUUGCUGGAGUAUGGGAGGGGUAAGCGGAAUUCCUGGUGUAGCGGUGAAAUGCGUAGAUAUCACGAAGAACUCCGAUUGCGAAGGCAGCCUACUAAACUGCCACUGACAUUGAUGCUCGAAAGUGUGGGUAUCAAACAGGAUUAGAUACCCUUGUAGUC